CCCCCGCCCCGCCCCCGGCCCCCGCGCAGGGUACGCCGGGAGUGGAGUCGGCGCGACCCGCCGCUGUGUACUCCAUCUCCCGGCGGGCCGAGCGCUAAAGGCGGCGGCACCUUUGUGGAGGCAGCGGCCCGGCGCGGAGGAAGUUCCGGUCUCCGCGGCGCUGGGUCGGUGGCGGCGGCUAAGGAUUAGGAGGAGCGGGCCGCGGAGGCCGCGCUGCCUCGGAAUCUGAUCCAGUUGUGAGGCAUCGCUCGAAAGGGAGUUUUUCUUGUGCUUAGCACGUAGCUUCGCCCUCAGACCUGGACAGACCGGAGUGGGCUCGGCCGGACAACAGGGCGCGAGAGCGCGGAGUCCAGCGCGCCGGGCUGUAGAACCUGGAUCCCGGGGAGUGGUCUGGUAUGCUUGUGAACAUCAGAGUUGCGGGAUCUAGGUGGAGUUUAGUAGACUCUGAUGCUCCCGGUCACCCUGGUUCAUUUUUCUGAACUCUGGAUCCUGCCCUCGGUUUGUUAGCUUUCAACUUCCUGUUGAGUAGUGCCGCCACUGUGAAUGGUUUAAUAAUGUCAACAUCAGCAGACUUGUGAGGACUAUAGGGAGA
ensembl:lncRNA